UAAUGUUCGUUGGAGUUCAGUAUAAUUACUUAUUCAUUUUCUGUUCGCCUUAAACUAUAUAUAGUUCACGUACGUGGUUUUUUCCAUUUUAGGAGGAAAAAAUGCAAUAAAAAAAUCAUAGGCAUACGACCCAUGAUGAGGCAGCUGGAAGCAAGCCCAAAGCAUAAGCCCUACAAAUUUUUUUUGUGUCUUUAGUAUACUGGAGUUGAAAGCAGGAAAAAAAAAAACGAAAUAGCAAGAUUUACAGUUGGCUUAAUUGAAAAAUAAUUACAGUUUUAAAGUAAUCAAAAUUUAGCAUUUUUUUUUUUACGUAAAGACAAUUUGAACCAAAACAACCUUAAAUAUUAGAAAAUUUCCACCACAAUAUGUUGGAGUUCGAAUUGUUUGUUUUGUUUUUACGUAUGAUGAGUUCCAGCAUAAAGUAUUAGAGUUUAUUAUGCUGGAGUUCCGACAUAAUCUGUUGUAAGUUUGUAUGCACGUGCUCCAUAAUUCAACAUACUAUGCUGAAAAUUUUCGUGUGCUAAAAUUCCAACAUAAUAUGAUGUAAUUUUAUAUGUAAAAACUCCAUAAUCCAGCAUAUUAUGCUACAAAUUUUCAUGUUUUAGCAAAAUAAUUGCUAUUUUUCAAUGAUAUUGCAAAUACUUGCUAUUUUUUAAUUAGCAGUCCGAAAACUGAAUAUCCCGUAUUUUUUUACCAGAAAACAUGAUAAAAUAUGAUAACAGAAAUUAGAUAGAUAUGUUUUUACAAAAUUAUAACAAAAUACGCACAUAAUCUUAUUAUAAGGCACCUAAGCUUGUUAGCGGGACUGGAACAGCCCACGACCGGCCCAGGUCAGCCUUGUAAAAAUCUGAACCGGAAUAGCGUCAUUGGCCCAAGGGAAAUAGUAUGAUAUAGUCAGUUUUUUGAUUAAUCAAAAAUAGCCAGUGUUUAUCAAAUCAAUGAAAAAUAGCAAUUAGUUUGCUGCAACAGAGAUUGGUUCCGUAUAAUAUAUGUGAGUUUUGGUGCAUUUGUGCACAAACUCCAGCAUAUUAUGCUGGACCGGUAUACUUUGCUAACUCUUGUAUAAUAUACGGGAGACUGGUGCACCAGUGCUUCAAACUCCACUAUAUUAUACUGGACAUUUAUACUUGCUGGAACUCUCGUAUAUUAUGCGGGAGUUCUAGCAUAAUUAACUUGAACUCUCGCAUAUUAUAUGGAAGUUCCAAUAUAGUUAUCCUGGAAUUCCCGUAGAAUAUGCGGGAGUUGAAUCAUAUUUAUGCUGGAACUCCCGUAUAAUAUGCGGGCGUAUUUUUCGGAUUUUGAACAGUAUUUUCGCUCAUAUUUAUCUUUAUAUAAAAGUGACAAAUUUCGAUAACUUUUGAAACUUGACUAUUUUUUAACGAUCAGUUAUAAAUCUGGCUAUUUUUAAAUUUCUCCCUUGCGUAUGGGUAUCGAGGAGAGGGUUAGGCCGAACAAGGCACCGGACCUGAUAGACCAGCCCAGGUGCUAGUUGGGGUCUCGUUCCACUGCGGCACUGGAUCACCUGUAAGGCGUUUCGGCCUAGCCAAUUAUGAGAAAAAUUAUUAUAUUUCUACUCAAUUUACAAGUUCUCCUAAAUUGGUAUAAAUAAAAUUGUACAUCCCCAAGUUAAAAAUUCCAAUCGAGAGCUUUCAUCAACAUAUCCCCCAAAAAUCAAGCAUAAGUCUUGUCAGCCUUCUUGUGGUGAGCCAAUUUAUACCAAAAAAUUUCCUCUAGUGAUUUUGUUGAAAAAGAUUAGGAUUGCACAUUUUGCUUCAAGAAACGGGAAAACAAUAGAAAAUUCAUUCUCUUUACCUGCUCUCAUGUAGUGCACUUAAUACAGGAUUUGUUGGUAGCAUCAAUAGAUACUUCAACAGCGGCAAUUGAAUGGGUUUUAUCAGAACUUUUUAGGCAUCCUGAUAUGAUGAAAAAACUUCAAAAUGAGUUGGAACAUGUAGUUGGUAGAAAGAGAAUGGUGGAAGAAUCAGACUUAGAAAACUUACCAUAUUUAGAUAUGGUCAUAAAAGAAGGCUUUAGGUUGCAUCCAGUUGCCCCCUUAUUGCUUCCCCACGAGUCCACUGAAGAUUGCAUAGUUAAUGGGUUUCACAUACCUAAAGGAUCCCGGCUUUUGGUUAAUGUUUGGGCAAUAGGGAGAGAUUCAGACACUUGGCCGGAGCCAGAAAAGUUCAAACCUGAAAGGUUUCAAGGAAGCAACAUCGAUCUACGAGGACAAAAUUUUCAACUUUUACCAUUUGGUGCUGGUAGAAGAAGUUGCCUUGGUUUG
rnacentral:lncRNA from 1 species